ACGAACAGGGGGCGUGUAGGUAGGUUAUUGGCUGUGUGUAACUAGUGAAAAGUUUUGCAAUUGUAUGUCUUUCCUGUUAAAACUUCAAUAAUUGAAGCAAUUGCGGUGGAUAAUUAGUCAACAGAAAGUCUCGUGUUUCGUUCAUUGACACCAAAGGUAAAAAAUGAGCGACUUUUUAUGGAGCUUGAAAAACGGCGAUCUCGAUCAAGUCAGAGAACAAGUUGAGAAAAAUGUAAGGAGCAUCUUUUCUUUUAUUAACUCAUUUUACUUGCAUUUAUCUUCCGUAAAUUAACUGGAAGGAUGUGAUUCAUAUUGCUAAUAAUACUUUAAGAUUUGUUCAAGAUCAAUUAUAUCCUUUUAUGUAUCAGAUGAUUUAUUUCAGCUACUGAAAUCCACCAUAAAAACGUAAAAGAAGAAUUUUGUAAUUUUUUUCAAUAAUUUAAAACCGUUAUGAUAUAUUUUUAGAAGCUUUUCUGUAUAUAUACAGAAAUGCUUGGGGAUCACCUGGCUGAGAACCACUUAUGAAACACAUUUUGGCAAAAAUUCAAUGCUUUAUGUCAGUAUCAACUGAGUUAUUUAACAUAAACUAAAAAGAAACAGAAGUAUUUUAUAUUUUAAUAUUAAGCAUAAUAUGAUACAGAUGAUAAUUACUAAUUAUUCCUAGAUGAUUAAGUGUAAUAAUUUGUACUUCAAUGUUUAUUGUACUAGUAUAAUUGGUGAUCUUUAAUUAUUCUUAGUUUGCUUUAAUCAUAAUUGAGUAAUUGGAGUGAUAUCCUUCCCUCUAUGUUGUGAGUCAGAAAGGAACUGAAAUAUGCGUUCAAAUAAAUUAAUUUUUCAAGUCCAUUCAGAACAAUUAAAUUUGAGUGUAUCAAAAAUACUUUAUAUGUAUUGUGACCACCACUUAAUAUCUGACUUAUUACACCCAGACAAGGAGAUGCAUAGAUCAAAAGGAAAUUAAACUUUUCCCCCAUACGUUUAUCCUUUAUUAUGAUAUGCGUAAGCCAUUACAUAGGAUAAAUUACAAAAUGGUUGGACAUAUAUUUUUAUAUUUGUUAUUUUCAAAUUAAGUUGGUUUAUCUAUAAAUAUUUAUGCAAUCUCAUGGAAAUUUAACAAAUGUAAAAUGAGUCAGCUUAUAAUUGAUCAUUUAGUGAGAUUUUCAUCAAAAUUAUUUUUCUUUUUACUAAACCUUCU